UCUCAAAUUGCUACAAGUACAAAAAAUGCUCUAAUGUCAUUUGAUGGGACACUUCAGAGUCAUUCUUCAAGUUCUGGUGGGCCCUCCAAUCUGCCAUCUUGUUCUUCUCGUUUUUAUUCAGCUAACUCCAAUGAACAAAAAACAAAUGGGGGUAAAGAUACUCUUCCAAAGAAGUUUAACUUGAAAAGCAGAAAAUCAAAUCCUUAACAAUAUGGAAAGAAACUUGCACUCCGUGGAUAGACGUUUCAUGAAGCGCAUCAGUGACUUCCUUAAAACCAAGUUUCAGUAAGUGUCUCGUGAUUUUGCAAGCUGUGAGGAAAUAGACAUAUUUGUCUGACCUACCAAGUCUUGAGGACGAAGCACCCCAAUUUGAAGCCAAGUCUGUGUUUGUGGUUUCACAAAAGUAACUUAUUCACAUUUUAUUUUUCAUGUCAGCUGUUAUUUGAAUAUUACUGCAUAUCUCCUUGUUUGCUAUACAGUGACUGAAAUUCAUUAAAGAAAGCAUUACAGAGCUUUCAGCAGCUAUUACCGCAAAUACCUCCAAGGACCCUGAUGGGUAUGCACAAAGUUUGAAAAUGUAAAUUUGUUUUAACACCCUUAAGAUGACUAUCUUCUCGC